AACUUUCCCAAAACUGGUGAAUAGCCCUCCGAAAGGAGGAUUAAUACACCGUAACAUAACGAGGUGGCAUCAUUUUGUUAUUAUAGGCUUCGGCCGGUUUUGGAUGGGCGUGCGCCUGAUUAGGUAGUUGGCGGGGUAACGGCCCACCAAGCCUGCGAUCAGUAACUGGUGUGAGAGCACGACCAGUCACACGGGCACUGAGACACGGGCCCGACCCCUACGGGAGGCAGCAGUAAGGAAUAUUGGUCAAUGGACGAAAGUCUGAACCAGCCAUGCCGCGUGAAGGAUGAAGGUCCUCUGGAUUGUAAACUUCUUUUAUCUGGGACGAAAAAAGGGAAUUCUUUCCCACUUGACGGUACCAGAGGAAUAAGCACCGGCUAACUCCGUGCCAGCAGCCGCGGUAAUACGGAGGGUGCAAGCGUUAUCCGGAUUCACUGGGUUUAAAGGGUGCGUAGGUGGGUCUGUAAGUCAGUGGUGAAAUCUCCGAGCUUAACUCGGAAACUGCCGUUGAUACUAUAGGUCUUGAAUCAUCUGGAGGUAAGCGGAAUAUGUCAUGUAGCGGUGAAAUGCUUAGAUAUGACAUAGAACACCAAUUGCGAAGGCAGCUUACUACGGAUGCAUUGACACUGAGGCACGAAAGCGUGGGGAUCAAACAGGAUUAGAUACCCUGGUAGUCCACGCCCUAAACGAUGGAUACUCG
rnacentral:rRNA from 1 species